AGAAUCAACGCUGGCGGCGUGCCUAACACAUGCAAGUCGAACGAGAAAGUGGAGCAAUCCAUGAGUAAAGUGGCGCACGGGUGAGUAACACGUGACUAACCUACCCUUGAGUGGGGAAUAACCUCGGGAAACCGGGCUAAUACCGCAUAACCACCUACGGGUCAAAGGAGCAAUUCGCUUAAGGAGGGGGUCGCGGCAGAUUAGUUAGUUGGCGGGGUAAUGGCCCACAAGACGGUGAUCUGUAU
rnacentral:rRNA from 1 species